CUGUAAAGCUAGAUGUAAGUUUAUGGACAAGAUAUAACAGAUUAAUUUGUAAUAUGUGUAAAGUGCAAUUUCUUCGGGAAAUUUGUAAAAUUUACAGAAAAAUCAGGUUAAAUGGUAAAUUUACUGACGUAAGGAGACGUUUACAUACUUCUUUGUAAAUUUACUGUAAAGUAGAUGUAAGUUUAUGGACACGAUUUAACAGAUAUGCAAUUUCUACGGAAAAUGUGUAAAAUUUACAGAAAAAUCAAGUUAAUGAUGAAUAUUCUGACCUUUUCGAGCAUGCGCACUUGAGAAGUUUGUGAAAAAACCGCGAAGCAAAGAGAAUUUUCCUUGCGGUCUUGGAUGUGUCAAGUGAUCUUCUUGAUCAGAAAUUCAAUUACGUCGUCGGUUGUCAUCUACCUACACCCAUGGAUUAUCUCCAUCACCUUCACAACCUUGAAUUGCUAAGAGAGCUACCUUUGCCAAGACCACGUCGUGGGCUACGGGAUGCUAGAAAUCCAUUGGAAUCGUACGAGGAUCGAGAUCGGUAUCGACUGUCAAAAGAAACCGUCAUUUACAUCAUCAACAUGCUGGAAGCCGAAUUGAAGAGGGACACACAGAGGAAUGAUCCACUUCCCGUUUAUUUGCAGGUGUUGACGGCUCUCCGUUUUUAUGUGGAUCAUUUCAAAAGAUGCAUGGUGAUGAGGUAGCAAUAUCACAGUCAUCAAAUGAAUGUGUCAAAUCAUCAAAGAUGUUUCGGAAGCUAUAGCAAGAAGGAAGAGGCAAUACAUGAACUUUCCUUCGACAAGAGAACAAGUUGAAGCAACUCAGCGACAGUUCUACCAGUACUGUAGAUAUAUCAGGAGCCCUGGUGGGGAUCAGGCAAUAUACUUCCUCAACAGGAAGAGUAGAUACUCGGUCAAUGUACAGGUUGUUUGUGAUCAGGCUGGGAAAAUAACAAGCAUCGUUGCCAGAUGGCCUGGCAGCACACCUAACUCCGCAACCGUAAGUCACUUUUCAACCAAACUUGGAUGGUAAAUGUACUUAGGCGACCUGCAUGUUAUGCUGCAGUCGGAGGUCACACGGUAAGGUCAAAGUGUUCCACAAUGGACAUAAGUUUUUGUAGAAAUGUACCAAACCCGACGGUGCUCUCACUCCAUGAUGUGUCACUGCAUCGUAGCAAUCCAGUCGGAUUUGAAAUGGUCUACACAUGUUGAAUAUAUGGUCAAGCGCGCAAAUAGUCGUUUAUAUGUUCUUCGCACUUUGAAAUAUCAUAGUCUGUAAUUUCAGGACCUUAUAGUUGUAUAUACUAGUUUCGUGAGACCAGUUGUUGAAUAUGCUGUACCUGUAUGGUCAGGAGCACUAACAAAACAACAAGUACAAGUCAUCAAACGUAUUCAGAAACGUGCCCUUAGAAUCAUUUUUGGAGCAGCAUAUUCUUCAUAUGAGCAUGCUUUACUCCAGUCAGAACUGAUGUCUCUUGAAGAUAGAUGGAUCAAACUCUUGUCUUGCGUUUGCGAAGUCUAUGCAAAUCCCCACGUCUAAACUGUAUCACCUUCUACCUCAAAAUAGGACUUGUCAAUAUCAGACUAGAAGCUUGGCCGGAACAGUAGAGAUGCGAUGUCGAACUUCACGAUAUAGAAAUAGCCCCUUGCCCUCGUUGAUUCGGCACCUUAAAGAGAAAUUCCAGUAGUUGCAGUAAACACUGAUUUCAUGAGAAAGUCUGUAAAACAAGACUUAAUUGUCAGUAUAUCAUCGAGGAUCUAGAUCUGGUACAGUUACAUAAACUGAACUUUGUGAAAUCUUGAAAUCUACGCUGAAAAAUGUUCAGGCUGAAGAUCCCCAACACAGAUAAGCGCACGUGGGACAGUGUAUAAUUAUUGCAUCGAAUGUCGGGCCCGACGCUCUACCCGAAUCCUGUGCUUAUUUGCUGAUUUCUCAGCAAUUACACAAUUUCUUCCAGAAUCCUUUGGCACAUAUGUUUUAUUUAUACAAACAGACACUUUGGUGGUCAUUUCAUUGGAUUCUGUACGAACUCAUUUUGAUAUCGUUACCCAAACUAGCAUUUACCUUUAACUCUAAAAGAAUUGAUUACAAGGAGUAGUUUUUUUUUUAUAUAUCUUCCCCUAUCGUUACAUGUAUAAUAAUAUCAAACUACGAAUGGCUGAGAAUUAAAGAACUCAUCAUUCAUUGGACUCUUAAAAUGUGAUAUCAUUAAAAGAUUGUUUUUUAUAAAAUGCAGAUUACAUACUAAUUCUAAUGUUGAGUUCUCUUUAUGUUGGCGAACUCAAGUAUCAUUUCAUUUCAUUUCAUUUUACUUUGUUAAUCAAAAUAUUUUUCUUUCAUAUGAGCAAUUAUUCACUGAUAUCUAGUCGUAAACUUAAUAUUUGAAUUGAAGUCACAAAAAUUGCCAAAAUAUGUAUUAUUGCAGCAUGUAUGAAAAAAUGUGACCUAAUUGCUUCUUUGCCCUUUUCUCUCUGUUUCCCUUCCACCAUCAAUUUCUUCUCUUCUCUCUCUCUCUCUCUCUGCCUCUCUUCUCUCUUCCACUAUUUCUAUUCCUUUCUGCUUUCCAAUUCAUUUCCUCUAUCCACUCAUAUUUACAUGUAUUUUGAAUAUUUUUCAAUUUUUUUUAUUGAUCAGUGAGUAUCGAUUUAAAUUUAUUUAUGAUAUACUUUGUUACAUAUGUCUAUAUUGAAAUUUGUUCGUAGUACUAUAAGUUUUUUUACCUUGUUAUUGAUGAUUUUGUUUGAAAUGUAAAUUUUCGCAAUUCGGCUUUUGCUGCAAAGAAAGGAUUUUUAAUAAACCAUUUUGAAUUGAAUUGAAUUUACAGGUCAACAUUAAAGUUUAUGUGCAAGGCUCUCUUUAUGUUGGCGAACUCAAGUUUCAUUUCAUUUCAUUUCAUUUUACUUUGUUAAUCAAAAUAUUUUUCUUUCAUAUGAGCAAUUAUUCACUGAUAUCUAGUCGUAAACUUAAUAUUUGAAUUGAAGUCACAAAAAUUGCCAAAAUAUGUAUUAUUGCAGCAUGUAUGAAAAAAUGUGACCUAAUUGCUUCUUCGCCCUUUUCUCUCUGUUUCCCUUCCACCAUCAAUUUCUUCUCUUCUCUCUCUCUCUCUCUGCCUCUCUUCUCUCUUCCACUAUUUCUAUUCCUUUCUGCUUUCCAAUUCAUUUCCUCUAUCCACUCAUAUUUACAUGUAUUUUGAAUAUUUUUCAAUUUUUUUUAUUGAUCAGUGAGUAUCGAUUUAAAUUUAUUUAUGAUAUACUUUGUUAGAUAUGUCUAUAUUGAAAUUUGUUCGUAGUACUAUAUGUUUUUUUACCUUGUUAUUGAUGAUUUUGUUUGAAAUGUAAAUUUUCGCAAUUCGGCUUUUGCCGCAAAGAAAGGAUUUUUAAUAAACCAUUUUGAAUUGAAUUGAAUUUACAGGUCAACAUUAAAGUUUAUGUGCAAGGCUCUUAUGACAAGUGUUAUUCCAUCCCAGUCAUUUCACAAUGAAGUUUCAAUACAAUUAUGUUGUGUGCCCUCGCAAAUCACGAUAUUUCUGGUUAUUUUCAUGAGUGGGCUAGACACAAUCACUGUUGCCAUGUUUUAUUCUAGAAAUAGUAAGCUUAGUAUGAAAAAAAUUAUUGAAAAAAGCUGGCCCGAUUUGUCCAGGUCAGAAAAGGGCAACACAAUUUUUGUUCAGGCCUUAAGUGAAUGCAUUCAUACAAUCUACCAUGUGUUUGGGAGUACAUGUUUAAAUAGCAAAUCAGCGUUCCUAUUGUAAGGUAUCUACUGAUUAAAAAAGAUCUGUAAAAAAUUUAAGAAUUCUGUAAACUUGUUUUUUUACAGAAAUGUGUAAAUUUACAUGGGAAUUUUGUAAAAGUACGGUAAUUUUACGGAAAGGAAUCCGUAAAAUUACGGAUUAAAAAAAAAAAUUCCGGCAGCAAAAUUUCCGGACAAAUUUUUUUUUCCCGUUAAUUAUUUAUACGGAAUCAUGUUAAUUCACGUAAAUUUUCUGUAAAAUUUCCGUAAAUAAUAUCUGUAUUUUACAUGGGAAUUUGUAAAAGUACGGUAAUUUUACGGAAAAGGAAUCCGUAAAAUUACGGACAAAAAAAAAAAAUUCCGGCAGCAAAAUUUCCGGACAAAUUUUUUUUUUCCGUUAAUUAUUUAUACGGAAUCAUGUUAAUUCACGUAAAUUUUCUGUAAAAUUUCCGUAAAUAAAAUCCGUAUUUUACAUGGGAAUUUUGUAAAAGUACGGUAAUUUUACGGAAAAGGAAUCCGUAAAAUUACGGACAAAAAAAAAAAAUUCCGGCAGCAAAAUUUCCGGACAAAUUUUUUUUUUCCG